UACGUAGGGUGCGAGCGUUAAUCGGAAUUACUGGGCGUAAAGCGUGCGCAGGCGGUUUUGUAAGCCAGAUGUGAAAUCCCCGGGCUUAACCUGGGAAUGGCAUUUGGGACUGCAAAGCUUGAGUGCGGCAGAGGGGACUGGAAUUCCUGGUGUAGCAGUGAAAUGCGUAGAGAUCAGGAGGAAUACCGAUGGCGAAGGCAGGUCCCUGGGCUGACACUGACGCUGAUGCGCGAAAGCCAGGGGAGCGAACGGG
rnacentral:rRNA from 1 species